AGUCAUGUACUGAGCACAAAGCGAACUAUUCUUUCGCCUUUUACUAAAGAAUACCGUGUGCUCUCUACGAUUAAUGGCAUACACCUAUUUUUGGAGGAGCUAUUUCAUCCGAAGUUAG
rnacentral:snRNA from 1 species